GAAGCUACAAAGAGCGUUCGGUGGAUGCCUAGGCGUCAAGGGCCGAAGAAGGACGCGGUACACUGCGAAAAGCCUCGGGGAGCCGUGUGCAGGCGAAGAACCGGGGGUAUCCGAAUGGGGAAACCCAGCUGGUUGAAGACCAGCUACGAUGUGCAGAACACAUACGCACAUCGGGGGAACGUGGGGAACUGAAACAUCUUAGUACCCACAGGAAAAGAGAGUAUUCUCCGAGUAGUGGCGAGCGAAAGGGGAACAGCCUAAACCAGCACGGCUACGGCCGUACUGGGGUUGUAGGACCGACAGAACAAACUGAAAGCUAGCUGAAAGACACUGGAAAGGUCUGCCAGAGACGGUGAAAGCCCGGUAGGCGAAAGCGGAAGGGGAGAGUCGGGAUCCUGAGUACCACGGGACACGAGAAACCCUGUGGGAAGCUGGGCAGACCACUGCCCAAGGCUAAAUACCCUUGACGACCGAUAGCGAACAAGUACCGUGAGGGAAAGGUGAAAAGAACCCCGGUAAGGGGAGUGAAAUAGAAUCUGAAACCGAGCGCUUACAAGCGAUCAGAGCACAAUGCAUCCCUUAGGGGAUGAAAGUGUGAUGGUGUGCCUUUUGGAGAAUGAGCCAGCGAGUUACUCUUUGUUGCGAGGUUAAGGCAAGAACAGCCGGAGCCGAAGGGAAACCGAGUCUGAACAGGGCGCCGAUCAAUGCUACGCAUUGGUCACAGUAGCAAGGAGUAGACACGAAACCAGGUGAGCCACCCAUGGUCAGGCUGAAGCGAGGCUAACCCCUCGUGGAGGGCCGAACCUUUCACUGUUGCAAAAGUGUGGGAUGAACUGUGGGUAGAGGUGAUAUGCCAAACGAACUUGGAGAUAGCUUGUUCUCCCCGAAAUAGCUUUAGGGCUAGCCUCGUGGGAUGAGUGAUGGAGGUAGAGCACUGGCUGGGUAAGGGGGCGCAAGCCUACCGCACCCAAUCAAACUCCGAAUGCCAUCACUAAGAGAACACGGGAGUCGGACUACGAAUGAUGAGAUCCGUGGUCGAGAGGGAAAGAGCCCAGACCGUCGGCUAAGGUCCCGAAGUGCAAGCUAAGUGGGAAACGAUGUGGGAUAGCAGAGACAGCCAGGAGGUUGGCUUAGAAGCAGCCACCCUUUAAAGAGUGCGUAAUAGCUCACUGGUCAAGCGAUCUUGCGCGGAAAAUGUAACGGGGCUAAAGCUUGCCACCGAAGCCACGGAGAUCUGUGCAAAGCACAGGUCUGGUAGGGGAGCGUCGUGUGAUCGUCGAAGCUGUACUGUAAGGAGCAGUGGAGGUCACAGGAGUGAGAAUGCUGGCAUGAGUAGCGUAAAAUACGUGAGAACCGUAUUCGCCGAAAGCCCAAGGGUUCCGACGGAAGGUCAGUCCGCGUCGGGUUAGUCGGGCCUAAGCCGAGGCCGAAAGGCGUAGGCGAUGGACAUCCGGUUAAUAUUCCGGAACCACCUAAGCAGAGCGAAGGGGAGACGCAGCAGGGUAGAUCAACCCCCCGGAUGGAAGAGGGGGGCCAAGCGUGUAGGCCGUUGAUGGGUGUAGGCAAAUCCGCACCCGGAGGUCGAGGCGCGAAGGGGACGCAAAAGAGCGGAAGUGAUUGACCCCAGCUGCCAAGAAAAGCCUCUAAGUGAUGAAGCUUAGGUGACCGUACCGCAAACCGACACAGGUGGGCAGGUAGAGGAUACCAAGGCGAACGGGAGAACCUUCAUCAAGGAAUUAGGCAAAUUAACCCCGUAACUUCGGGAGAAGGGGUGCCCUUGUGUGUGAGACCCGAACGGGAGGAGCACAUGGGGGUCGCAGUGACAAGGCUUUAGCGACUGGUUACCAAAACCACAGGUCUCUGCAAACUCGAAAGAGGACGUAUAGGGGCUGACACCUGCCCAGUGCCGGAAGGUUAAGGGGAGUGGUUAGGGGAAACCCGAAGCUACGAACCGAAGCCCCGGUGAACGGCGGCCGUAACUAUAACGGUCCUAAGGUAGCGAAAUUCCUUGUCGGGUAAGUUCCGACCCGCACGAAU
rnacentral:rRNA from 1 species